UGCCUCAGUACGGCGAGUGAAGCGGCAAAAGCUCAAAUUUGAAAUCUAGCACUUUCAGUGUUCGAGUUGUAAUUUGAAGAAAGUCUCCUUGAAUAGUCCUUUAUCUAUGUUCCUUGGAACAGGACGUCAUAGAGGGUGAGAACCCCGUAUGAUUUUGGAUCCUAUUCUCUGUGGGAGUCUUUCGAAGAGUCGAGUUGUUUGGGAAUGCAGCUCUAAGUGGGUGGUAAAUUCCAUCUAAAGCUAAAUAUUGGCGAGAGACCGAUAGCGAACAAGUACAGUGAUGGAAAGAUGAAAAGAACUCUGAAGAGAGAGUGAAAAAGUACGUGAAAUUGCUGAAAGGGAAGGGCUUGAGGUCAGACUUGGUGUUUAAUGAUUAUCUUCUUUUCUUAAGUUGUGCACUCGUUUUUCACUGGGCCAAUAUCAGUUUUUGUAGUAGAGCACCUCUUGAAAUGUGAUUUCCUUCGGGGAGUGUUAUAGUCUUGAGACGAUCUACUACGGGGACUGAGGACUGCGCGUUAUGCUAGGAUAUUGGCGUAAUGACCUUAAGCCGCCCGUCUUGAACC
rnacentral:rRNA from 1 species